CCCAAGUCACCUAGUUGACUUUCAUGCCUAAGGUGGGACUAGAACUUAGAGUCUCCUGGUGAUUCACUAAAAGUCACCCAGCAGG